GCGAAUGUAGUUUAAUGGUAAAAUGAAAGCUUCCCAAGCUUUAGUCGUGGGUUCGAUUCCCAUCAUUCGCUCCA
rnacentral:tRNA from 1 species